AAAUCUUCUCUCUUUGACUUCGAGUGUUCCCGAACGUCGAUCGAUAAAAUUGAAUUAUAUUUCUGAGAGUAUAUUACCAAUUAUAAUGUAAUACAUAUUAAAAUUAAAUCAUAAAAUGUUCUUUAGUUAAAAAUAUUCUAUUACUGUGACAUCGCAACUAUAGUGAACAAGUUUAUUGGCAUCAUAGAGUCCAUUAUGCUCGUAUUAGUCUCACCUGUGACCUAUCCUCACUAGUGCUCCGUCAGUAUACCGUUAGCACGAUUGGAGUUACUACUGUAUGCCAUUAUCAUCCAAGAGAGAAGGAAUUGUUAGUAAUGGAGAGAUUAGUCCCCAUUGCUAUCAAUAUACCUUAUCAGGUCGACCUCCAUGCGGUUCCCCAUGGAACUGUGAAUUGAAAUGAAACAUUGAAUUUGUGUAUAGUGUAUAAUGAUAGUGUGGAUGAGGUUACAAUUUCAUUAUCAUCAAAAAACAUACUACCCCUCGAGUUACCCACCAACCAAUGAGAAUUUUGACCCAAAAUCUGAUCUUGUUGCAGACAAAUGCAAGAAGAUGAUCUACAUUUAAGAAUUGUCAUCGGAAACAAUUGAUUCAAUUAGAAGUUAUGCAGUGUGAUACAGAUAGAUCUGGAAUUAUAAAAAUUAAGCAUAUUAAUGUAAAAGAAGAAUCAGCCAUAAUUAACAACAUGUUUUUGGGCAAAGAAAAUUGCAGUCCUAUAGAACAGUAUGAAGAUUGUAAAGUGAAGAGUAAAUUGGAAGAAGAACCUUUUAAGUGUUUUAAAACUGAUUCAAAAAAUUACUUGUAUAAUAUGGAUGAAGUCCAUAAAUAUAUGCAGCAGGAAAGGAAAAUUGAAUCUUAUAAGUCUUCUCCGUGUGAUACCAAUGCGUACAGAAAAACACUGAAAUGUCAUAAUGGAUCUGAACACCACAUUUUACGUGUUUAUACUGGCCAGAAACCAUAUAUUUAUAAUUAUUAUAAAAAACCUUAUACACCAAAAUCAUAUUUUCAUAUUAAAGAAAAACCAAAUGGUAUUGAUGUGUGUAAAAAAUGUUAUAACACAAAUGCACGUUUGAAAGAGUAUGCAUGCCAUACUGAUGAAAUGCAAUUCUAUUGUGGUUUGUGUAAAAAAUUGUCUUAAAACAAAGCAGCAUUUGAAACACCACUUGCAUAUUCUUGCUGUUGAAAAACGCUAGAGUUGUGAUGUGUGUAAAAAAAGUCUUCUAACAAAAAUAUCAUAUGAUACUUGCAUAUUAUACACACUGCUAAAAAGCCAUAAUAGUUGUCAUGUAUGUAAAAAAAAAUUAAAACAAAGACAGCAUUUUACACAGCACUUGUAUAUUUAUUAAAAUUGAAAAUAAAAUAUAAUUGUGACCUAUGUAAAAAUAUUUUAGAACAAAGAGCACAAAAGUACUUAUGAUAGAUAUUUAUAUAUCUAUAUAAAUAGGGCAUCUCUUUCAUAAUUAAUCUCAAUAUCUGCAGGAUCUUUUAUUUUUAUGUAUAUAAAAGAUAUACUAAAAAUAUUUUUUAUAAAUUUAAAUACCUACAUUAACAAUAAUAAAAAGGUUUUCUCUGGUUCUGAAAAUUGAUGCUUUAAUGUUCACAUUACUAGCAUUCUACUAGACAGAACCUUUAGUUUUCUCCAAAAAUAUUUCUAGUAAAUGUUACAUAUUAUAUAGACAGAUGAGCUCACAUAGCUCAUAUUGUAACUGUUAUGUACAUUCAAAUCUCACAAACACAAUAAUAAUCAAAUUUUGAUAUUAAAUGUGGAAUGUCAUAAUUACCUCUGGAUAUAGCUCUUUAGUCUGUACUAUUAUGCUCUUUUAACUUUUGUAUACUACAUACAUUGUAAAAAUAUUUUUACAUAAUUAUACAUCAUACACAGUUUUUUAAAAGUAUAAAUAUGUAAGUGCUGUAUCAAAUUCUAUGCUUCAUUUUAAUUUUUUUUUUACAUACAUCACAACUAUUAUGGCCUUUUAGUAAUGUGUAUAAUAUGCAAAUACCAUAUAAAAUAUAUUUUGUUGUAAAACAUUUUUUACACACAUCACAAUAAUAGAGUUUUCCAACAGUAUAAACACUGUGGAAGUGCCGUUUCAAAUGCUGCUUUGCUUUAAAACAUUUUUUACACACAUCACAACUAAAUGGCUUUUCACCAGUAUAAUAUGCAUGUUUUUUAAAUGUGUAUUCAUAUUGCUUAUUUUGAUGUGUUAAUUAAUUGUUAAGAAUUUUCAAAAAAUUGAUAAGAUCAGAAAAACAGCAGGCUGUAAUAAAGGCUAGAGGGAACAAUACCAAGUAUUGUUUUAAUUUUUUUUUUAUUCUUACCAUUUUUUGUUUAAUUUCCAAAAUACGGUAUGAGGGUCAUUUGAAAAGUUCUUAGCCUAGCAUGGUUAGUCAUUGGUUUUUUUUUUAUAACUACCCUCAUUUUGUAGUUACAUUAUUUAGCAACAAGUAUGCACAGUUUAUUCACAGUAACUCAUUGUUCGUUUACACGUGAUACCGUAAGUCAAGUCAGAGCUAUUUUUGAAAAUGGGUGAAAUUGAACAUCGUGCAGUGAUAAAAUACCUGAAUUUGAAAGGUUUAACUCCAAAAGCUAUACAUGAAGACAUGUCUGCUACUUUGGGUGAGUCCGCUCCUUCGUAUGCGUCUAUUAAAAACUGUGUGGCAGAGUUUAAACGUGAUCGUGAGACCAUUCAAGAUGAGCCCCGUAGUGGCCGGCCUUCGACUGCUUCCACUGAUCAAAACGUUUAUUUUGAGGAGUUAGACGAAGAUUUUUUUAAAACGGGUAUCGAAGCCUUACCGGGUCAAUGGAAAAAGUGUUCUGAGCUCGGAGGAGAGUAUGUUGAAAAAUAAAAAUAAACUCAAAA